rnacentral:rRNA from 1 species
AUUGAACGCUGGCGGCAGGCCUAACAAAUGCAAGUCGAGCGGAUGACGGGAGCUUGCUCCUUGAUUCAGCGGCGGACGGGUGAGUAAUGCCUAGGAAUCUGCCUGGUAGUGGGGGACAACGUUUCGAAAGGAACGCUAAUACCGCAUACGUCCUACGGGAGAAAGCAGGGGACCUUCGGGCCUUGCGCUAUCAGAUGAGCCUAGGUCGGAUUAGCUAGUUGGUGGGGUAAUGGCUCACCAAGGCGACGAUCCGUAACUGGUCUGAGAGGAUGAUCAGUCACACUGGAACUGAAACACGGUCCAGACUCCUACGGGAGGCAGCAGUGGGGAAUAUUGGACAAUGGGCGAAAGCCUGAUCCAGCCAUGCCGCGUGUGUGAAGAAGGUCUUCGGAUUGUAAAGCACUUUAAGUUGGGAGGAAGGGCAGUAAGUUAAUACCUUGCUGUUUUGACGUUACCGACGGAAUAAGCACCGGCUAACUCUGUGCCAGCCGCCGCAGUAA